rnacentral:rRNA from 1 species
UACACUCCUGCGGGAGGCAGCAGUGGGGAAUUUUGGACAAUGGGGGCAACCCUGAUCCAGCAAUGCCGCGUGAGUGAAGAAGGCCUUCGGGUUGUAAAGCUCUUUUGUCAGGGAAGAAACGGUGGUGGCGAAUAACUACUACUAAUGACGGUACCUGAAGAAUAAGCACCGGCUAACUACGUGCCAGCAGCCGCGGUAAUACGUAGGGUGCAAGCGUUAAUCGGAAUUACUGGGCGUAAAGCGUGCGCAGGCGGUUGUGUAAGUCAGAUGUGAAAUCCCCGGGCUCAACCUGGGAAUUGCAUUUGAGACUGCACGGCUAGAGUGUGUCAGAUGGGGGUAGAAUUCCACGUGUAGCAGUGAAAUGCGUAGAUAUGUGGAGGAAUACCGAUGGCGAAGGCAGCCCCCUGGGAUAACACUGACGCUCAUGCACGAAAGCGUGGGGAGCAAACAGGAUUAGAAACCCUUGUAGUCCCAUG